rnacentral:rRNA from 1 species
ACGAACGCUGGCGGCGUGCUUAACACAUGCAAGUCGAGCGGUAAGGCCCUUUCGGGGGUACACGAGCGGCGAACGGGUGAGUAACACGUGGGUGACCUGCCCUCAGCUCUGGGAUAAGCCUGGGAAACCGGGUCUAAUACCGGAUAUGACUCCAUGACGCAUGUUGUGGGGUGGAAAGCCUUGUGCGGCUGAGGAUGGGCCCGCGGCCUAUCAGCUUGUUGGUGGGGUGAUGGCCUACCAAGGCGACGACGGGUAGCCGGCCUGAGAGGGCGACCGGCCACACUGGGACUGAGACACGGCCCAGACUCCUACGGGAGGCAGCAGUGGGGAAUCUUGCGCAAUGGGCGAAAGCCUGACGCAGCGACGCCGCGUGAGGGAUGACGGCC